UAUUGAUUGCGAAUUGUUGCCUUCUGUGCUGGCCAGCUCUGGCAAGUGCACGUCGGUGACUUUCAUCCAAUACCCUGUGCACCUUUGGCCUUUGCUAGCCUCGGCUGGCAGAGGAAUUUUUACACACACUCGAAUGUAAUGAAAUUUAUUGUCGUGCGCAAGCACUAAUGUACAACUUUCAACAACGGAUCUCUUGGCUCUCGCAUCGAUGAAGAACGCAGCGAAAUGCGAUAAGUAAUGUGAAUUGCAGAAUUCAGUGAAUCAUCGAAUCUUUGAACGCACCUUGCACCCUUUGGCAUUCCGAAGGGUAUGCUCGUUUGAGUGUCAUUGUACUCUCACACUCCCAAUUCUUUGAACUGGGAGCGGUGGACUUGGGUGUUGCCGCUUGACUGUGGCUCACCUCAAAUGCGUUAGUGCACCUCUUGGUUGGACAUAGUACGGCGUGAUAAGUGUCUUCGCCGGCACCUCACUUUGAGGGUGGCUGAUCGGGAGCUCUGUGCUUCAAACUGUCUUCGGACAAUAACUGACAACUUG
rnacentral:misc_RNA from 1 species